GAUGAACGCUGGCGGCGUGCUUAACACAUGCAAGUCGAACGGAAAGGCUCCUGCUUGCAGGGGUACUCGAGUGGCGAACGGGUGAGUAACACGUGGGUGAUCUGCCCUGCACUUCGGGAUAAGCCUGGGAAACUGGGUCUAAUACCGGAUAGGACGAUGGUUUGGAUGCCAUUGUGGAAAGUUUUUUCGGUGUGGGAUGAGCUCGCGGCCUAUCAGCUUGUUGGUGGGGUAAUGGCCUACCAAGGCGUCGACGGGUAGCCGGCCUGAGAGGGUGUACGGCCAACUUGGGACUGGGAUACGGCCCCGGCUCCUAAGGGAGGCAGCAGUGGGGAAUAUUGCCCAAUGGGGGGAAGCCUGAUGCAGCGGCGCCGGGUGGGGGAUGACGGCCUUUGGGUUGGAAACUCCUUUCGCUAGGGACGAAGCGCAAGUGACGGUACCUGGAGAAGAAGCACCGGCUAACUACGUG
rnacentral:rRNA from 1 species